rnacentral:lncRNA from 1 species
UGAAUUGGAGCUGCAGCUGCUGGCUAUGCCACAGCCACAGAAACACUGGAUCUGAGCUGCAUCUGCAACCUAUGCCACAGCUUGCAGCAAUGCCCAAUACUUGACACACUGAACGAGGCCAGGGUUUGAACCCACAUCCUAAUGGACACUAUGUCAGGUUCUUAAUCCACUGAACCAAAAUGCGAACUCCACAGGUAUUUUUAUUUAUGCUCAAAGUGUCUUUGGGAAUGAGAAACAUUGCUGCUUACCCUAGAGCCCUUCUCUAAUAUAUACACAUCUUCAUGAUUGAAUAACUUCUUAUUAGUGCAAUGCUUGGAAAAUAGUGAAUAUGUAAUAAGUACUAGUGUUGAAUAAUUGGUCAAAUAAAGGAAUAAAACAAAUUAAAUCAAGUUUUUUUCUUCUGUUCUCUGCCUUGCAAAAAAACUUUUCUUAGAUUUGGAGCGACUAUUCUGUCCUAGAUGGUAGCCACAAGACACAUAUGGCUUCUGAUUUAUAUUUAUAUUAAUUAAAAUUAAAUUAAAUUUGAAAGUUUUUUUCAGCCUUACUAUCCACACUUCAAAUGCAUAAAAGCCACACAAACUACUAUUCUUGGGCACUCAGAUCAUAGAACAUAAUUCCAUUGCCAAAAAUUGUAGUGGAAGGCAGUAGUUUAGAGACAAGCUGCCAAAGGAAUGCUAUCUUUUAGACAUACUUAUCUUUAAUGGAAUUUUGCAAUAUUGAGUGAUUGUUAAGAUGUUGGAAUGUCAAGGAAAGGUGCUCAGUAGAAACAGGGUUGGUGAUAGUGUUAAAAACAUGUUGAGUACCUAAAAUUAGUCAUUUAAAAAGAAAUUCAACCAAUGGAUAAUCCUGAAAAUAUAUCAAAAUAAAUGAACAAAUAUUUGUAAAAGACAUGUAAAUUUUGUGAAUUGUCUUUGUUCAAAAAUAUAUCUUCUAUAAAUUAAAUAGGUACCUAAAAUCUAGAAAUCAUUAAAUGUUCCUGUGAAAUGUCUAUUAAGUUUUAAUUACUACGUAGAAGAGCAUAGCUGUUACAUGUUCGGUCCAAUGACACAUGAAGCCAGGAUCAUAUAGACAUUGUAUAGUUUUAGAAGAUAUCUAUGCCUGGAUACACUAGACACAGGCAAAUUACCUAUGUUACAGGUGGUUUAUUUUAUAAAUAUGUAUCUAAUAUAUAUUGGAUAUAUUAUGUAUAUAUAUAGCUGUAUAUUUAUAUAUAACAUAUACGUAAUGCAUAUAUAAAUCAUAGGUAACAAGAAAGCUGGGGCACAAAAUAUUCACCCAAGAGGAAUGGAUUAAGAUGUAGUGCAUAUAAACAAUGGAAUACUACUCAGCCAUAAAAAAGAACAAAAUGAUUCCAUUUGCAGCAACAUGGAUGGAACUUGAGAUUCUCAUAAUAAGUGGUGUAAGUCAGAAAGAGAAAGACAGAUUCUGUAUGAUAACUAUAUGUAGAAUCUAAAAUAUGGCACAGAAGAACCUAUCUAUAUAAGAGAAACAGACUCACAGACAUGCACAGCAGACUUGUGGUUGCCAAGUGGAAAGGGAAGGGAGUGGGAUGGACUGGGAGUUCUGGGUUAAUAGAUGCAAUCUGUUAACAUUUAGAAGGGGUAGACAGUGAGGUCUGCUGUAUAGCAUAGGGAACUCUAUCCAAUCACUCAUGAUGGAACAUGAUGGAAGAUAAUAUAAGAGGAUGUGUAUAGAUAUAUGACUGGGUCACUUUGCUGUACAGUAGAAAUUGACUGAACAAUAUAAAUCAACCAAAAGAAAAUUGUUAAGAGAGUAAAGCCUAAGAGUUCUAAUCACACAAAGCAAUUAUUUCCAUUUCUUUAAUUUUCUAUCUUUAUGAGAUGAUGGACAUUUAUUAAACUUAUUGUGAUAAUCAUUUCAUUAUAUAAGUCAAGUCAUUGUGUUGUACCCCUUAAACUUAUAUGGUAAUGUAUUUAAAUUAUAUCUAAAUUAAACUGGAAGGAAAAAGCCAUAACAAAUAGAUGCAAAAAAACAGGCAAUGUUCAUGACUUACGAGUGCACACUGCAGGUGAUAUCAAUUAUUUUAGUCCUUUGGAAAAGUAAAGUAUUUAUUUUGAAUCUUCCUUCUAAAUAUUCUAAAUAAUGGGUUCAAUAUAUUUCAAUAAACACCAGAAAAAUAUAACAGAUACAUAUCAGUGCAGAGUUGCAAUUAGGUCCUACACUUGACAACUUCAAAAUAAAAUUAUAUUUUCAUUUUAAAUUUCCAUUUCCAAUAUAAUUUUAUUUUUAAGAUAAAAUCUCAAAUAUAUAUUUCCCUUAUUUAUGAUUAUGUCCUUAUUUUUAAGUCUAUAUACUUUAUUUGGCCUAUUUUUGUAAUAAUGAUAUCCAAAAGCAAUUCUACAUUAUUGGGGUAUUAAGCACACAUAAAUAUCACAAUAAAAAUUUUAUCUCCAACAUAAACAAAAUAUGCAUAUUGUUAGAAAUUUUUUCAUUCCUCUUUUUGACCUUAAACUUUGUGGGGCUUUAAAAACAUAUGCAUGUGUUCUUUUAUGUCUAUUUGCUCACUCUGCACCUGAAAAACAUGUCUAGACCAGUCAUUUAAACUUCUCACUUUUCAUCCCCCUGUAUUAGUCCUUAUUUUUCUAAAAUAAUUAUUUUAAUCUUCGUGACUUUAUUUUUUAUUCUUUAUCUACCAAUUUCCAUUUACAAAGUGUAAAUUUAUAAACUUAUAUAAGAUGCAUGAAUGAUAAAUAGCUGGAUGUUACAUGAAUGAUGUAUAUAGCUGAUGGAUUCAUAAU